rnacentral:snRNA from 1 species
AAACAUACCUGGACGGGGUCAAUGGGUGAUCAUGAAGGCCCAUGGCCUAGGUUGGUGUCCUCCAUUGCACUUUGGAGGGGUGCCUGCCUAAGGUCGGCCCAAGUGGCCGAGCCUAAGUCAUAAUUUGUGGCAGCGGGGGCCUGCGUUCGCACGGCCCCUAC